rnacentral:rRNA from 1 species
AACGAACGCUGGCGGCAGGCCUAACACAUGCAAGUCGAGCGAGGACUUCGGUCCUAGCGGCGGACGGGUGAGUAACGCGUGGGAACGUGCCCUUUGCUACGGAAUAGCCCUGGGAAACUGGGAGUAAUACCGUAUGUGCCCUUUGGGGGAAAGAUUUAUCGGCAAAGGAUCGGCCCGCGUUGGAUUAGGUAGUUGGUGGGGUAUGGCCUACCAAGCCGACGAUCCAUAGCUGGUUUGAGAGGAUGAGCAGCCACACGGGGACUGAGACACGGCCCAGACUCCUACGGGAGGCAGCAAUGGGGAAUCUUCAACAAUGGGGGAAACCCUGAUCUAGCCCUGCCGCGUAAGCGAUGAAGGCCUUAGGGUUGUAAAGCUCUUUCAGUGGGGAAGAUAAUGACGGUACCCACAGAAGAAGCCCCGGCUAACUCCGUGCCAGCCGCCGCCGUAAAAC